GACGCGGGUACCUCUUCCGCGGAAGAGGUUCAAAAGGGAAGAGAGCGCAAAGCUCCGCAGCCCCCGCUACUGUUCGGCGAAGCGCGUAUUCACUGCUCAUGCGGGAAGGAUACGGUUCAACGCCCGCCGUCGUCUUCGGACGAAAGCCAGGAGACCUGCCCCGUCG
rnacentral:ncRNA from 1 species